GUUCGGAACGGACGCUAAUACCGCAUACGUCCUACGGGAGAAAGCAGGGGACCUUCGGGCCUUGCGCUAUCAGAUGAGCCUAGGUCGGAUUAGCUAGUUGGUGAGGUAAUGGCUCACCAAGGCUACGAUCCGUAACUGGUCUGAGAGGAUGAUCAGUCACACUGGAACUGAGACACGGUCCAGACUCCUACGGGAGGCAGCAGUGGGGAAUAUUGGACAAUGGGCGAAAGCCUGAUCCAGCCAUGCCGCGUGUGUGAAGAAGGUCUUCGGAUUGUAAAGCACUUUAAGUUGGGAGGAAGGGCAUUAACCUAAUACGUUAGUGUUUUGACGUUACCGACAGAAUAAGCACCGGCUAACUCUGUGCCAGCAGCCGCGGUAAUACAGAGGGUGCAAGCGUUAAUCGGAAUUACUGGGCGUAAAGCGCGCGUAGGUGGUUUGUUAAGUUGAAUGUGAAAUCCCCGGGCUCAACCUGGGAACUGCAUCCAAAACUGGCAAGCUAGAGUAUGGUAGAGGGUAGUGGAAUUUCCUGUGUAGCGGUGAAAUGCGUAGAUAUAGGAAGGAACACCNAGNUGUGGCGGAGGCGACUACCUGGACUGAUACUGACACUGAGGUGCGAAAGCGUGGGGAGCAAACAGGAUUAGAUACCCUGGUAGUCCACGCCGUAAACGAUGUCAACUAGCCGUUUGGGAGUCUUGAACUCUUAGUGGCGCAGCUAACGCAUUAAGUUGACCGCCUGGGGAGUACGGCCGCAAGGUUAAAACUCAAAUGAAUUGACGGGGGCCCCGCACAAGCGGUGGAAGCAUGUGGUUUAUUUCGAAGCCAACGCGAAGAACCCUUACCAAGGCCUUGACAUCCAAUGAACCUUUCUAGAGAAUAGAUUCGGUGGCCUUCGGGAACAUUUGGARAACAGGUGCUGCNAUGGCUGUCGUCNAGCNNUCGUGNUCGUGNAGAUGUUGGGUUAAGUCCCNGUAANCGAGNCGCANNANCCCUUNGUCNCUUANGNUUNACCNAGCNACGUAAUNGGUGNGGNCNACNUCUNAAGGNAGANNCUGCNNCGGUGANCAAACCGGAGGAAGGUGGGGAUGACGUCAGUCAUCAUGGCCCUUACGGCCUGGCUACACACGUGCUACAAUGGUCGGUACA
rnacentral:rRNA from 1 species